rnacentral:misc_RNA from 1 species
GCCACUAUAACUGUUCCAACCCCCGCGACCACCACCCCCCCGCGCAACGAACACGACACAACAACCCGCGUUAUGCAGUCUUCGAGUUGCCUGCCGUGUGUCUAGUGUACCACACUCCAUCCUCUGGGCCGCGUCUUGUUUACGAAAGAUAAACAGUCUCGUGACGGAGACAAAGAAGAGGGAGCCAGGGCCGCAGGCAGAUUUUUUUCCGAGGGAACAUGUUGACCAUGUCGACGUUGAUGAUGCCCGCAUCGGCGGUACCGGCGGGCAUGGCCGCUCCAGGCCUACUGCCGGUACCAAAGCUGGACGCGAUCAGGCUGAACCACACUCCGCCGAACACCAGCAUAGCCGCAACUGCACCAACGACACCAAACGCCGCAAAAUCAGAACAUCAUCAUAUAUUUGUAGGAGACCUGAGUCCUGAGAUCGAAACGCAGACACUCCGCGACGCUUUCGCAGCUUUUGGAGAAAUUUCAGAUUGUCGGGUAGUGAGGGAUCCUCAAACAUUAAAAUCAAAAGGAUAUGGAUUCGUUUCGUUUAUCAAGAAAGGGGAAGCUGAGAGUGCUAUAGCUGCAAUGAAUGGACAGUGGCUCGGUAGCAGAAGCAUUAGGACUAACUGGGCCACUCGAAAACCUCCAACUGCCAAAAACGAAGCAGCAGCCAAACCGUUGACGUUUGACGAAGUUUAUAAUCAAAGUAGUCCAACAAAUUGCACUGUAUAUUGUGGGGGAAUUACGAAUGGGUUAACUGAAGAACUAAUGCAGAAAACAUUCGCCCCGUUUGGGACCAUCCAAGAGAUCAGGGUUUUCAAAGAGAAAGGCUAUGCUUUUGUUAGAUUUUCAACCAAGGAAUCUGCCACGCACGCUAUAGUAGCAGUACACAACACUGACAUUAAUGGACAAAUAGUGAAAUGUUCUUGGGGUAAAGAAUCGGGUGACCCAAAUAACGCUCCAGUUACUGGACAAACUAUAUCAAGUACCAGCUUCCCCUAUGGAACCUAUGGACAACAGCUGGGUUAUUGGUACCCUCAGAGCUAUCCCACAGCAAGCACCUCCCAAAUGCAAGCUGGACAAUUCAUUGGAGGAAUGCAAGGAUACGCUUAUGGACCUAUAGGAGGUUACCAAUCACCAUCUUACACUAUGGGCAUGGGUAUUCAGGUCCCCACAGCCGCCACAUCAUGGCAAAGCAUUCCGGCUCCAUCCCAGAUACCCACAACUCCACAACAAAUGGCUGCCCCAGCCACAACACUGCAACAGCCUGGCAUAGUUUUUCCGAUUCAACAAUAUCAACUGACGGAAGACAACGAGUGGUUGACACCAAGUCUUCUAGUAUGAAUAUAAACAUACAGGCAAUUCAUCAAAAAGACCAGGGAAUCAUUAAUUGAUAUGUGUCAUCUUCUGUGUUUGAAUACCUUUAGGCCUCAAAUUUCCAGUUUAUAUGUUCUAUGUUUAAUGGGUCAAAUUUGACAAACGUUCCCAAACCUUCGCUGGGACAUCAUAUUUGAUAGUUUAGUAUAAGAGUUUAUAUUUGUAAACGACUAAAGUGAGAAUUUAAGUUUAAUUUCUGAGAUGUACAAAACACUAGUAGCAUAAAUGUCAAGUAGAUAGGGUAAAUAAAUAUAUAUUAUACAUAUAUACAUAUUAUAUAUAAAUAAAACAAAAAAUAUAUUAUUAUAUACAUGCCCUGGGGUUACAGCGGGUUGUGUAACAAAUAAAACACUCAACCUCUCUUGCCCGAAGGAUAAUAUUGUACAGAUAAUCUAAAAGAAGAAACUGUACAUAGACUCAUAAAUCGGAUGCAAGUACUCAAAGCUAUCAGAAAUUUAGUUUUUGUAAGUGUGUCUUCGUAGAUAGAGAGCUUUGAAAAUGGAGAGGCAGUGAUAAAAGAAAUAUUAUUAUCUAACGUGAUAUUUAGCAAUUUUAUAUGAAGUAUUUAGUUGAUCACGAGAAAAGUUUUGAUACCAGAUAGAAAUUAAUACCGAAAACAAAUUAGAACAAUUAAUUAUUAUUUUAAAAAUUGGCUGGUAAAAUAGCGACAAAGGAAACGUGGAAGGGCAGAACCCGAAAAAAAUGGCAACUCUGUCAAUUAGCUUAGUUAUUAUCAACGUAAAAAUUAUCAGAAAAGAAUAUGAAGGACACCUUCCCGUUUUCAAUAAAUAAUUUAAGGUCUGUACAGAAUGGUAUGGUUGCGCCAAAAAUUUAGCUGUGUAAGUUGAUACUUAAGAAGAAAAAAAAUUGUAUUAUGCACGCUUACCCAAACAGCACAAUUAUAUAUAACGACUGUAUAAAUGUUUGUGGAACUGUCACUAAAUGUGAACAAAAAUAUAUCACAUCUAGUUGUUUUAAUUUAAGAAACUAAUAAUUUUAGGGCUACUAUUUAUGUUAGUCAAAUAAAACAAGAAUAAAAAAAUAUAAGAGCAACUUCAUUUUUCUUCAUAAAAAGUUUUUAAAAAAAUCAACCAAAGCUAAAGUGAUAUGAUACCGUUUAUAUAUGAUAUAGAUUACGUUUAAAAUAGCUUUUUUACAUGAUUGUUUCAAAAAACUAUUUGGGUCAUUUCAUACCCUGUGAUUAUAUCUUCUAAAUGUGAUGACAAACAUAAAAAAAACUUAUGCGACCAAUCGUUAGGCCAUUUAGAUAAGGCAAGUGAGAUAUGAAAUGAAAACAAACAAAAAACAUUCUAAAAUACGAUGGUCAAAAAAAAAGUUCUUUUUGCAUCAUCCAAGUACAACAUAACUUUUUUGUUGUCCCUCGUACUUCCUGAUCUUAGAAGAAAUAAAGCUGAAGGAACCAAAGUAUUAGUUUUAUUUAACAUAUCGUUGUUGUUUACGAAACUUUUAUAUUAAGUUUUUCCUUUCAUAUUUACCUAUAGUAUUAAACAGUUUGUUUAAGUAUUAUUUGUAAUAUAAAUUGUUCUUCAACUAAUAUAUGCAAAUAUUUUUACCAGCUUUUAAAAUAAAAUUAGAUUACUCUAGGGCGAAUUUCAUACUUUUAUACCAAUGAAAUACUUCAAUAUCAAAAACUUUUAUUAAGAUUAAAUUUUAAGUGUCCAGUAUUCUUGGACACACUGUAAAAAAAGUUCAAGUUUCUCAGAAAUUUUUAUUCUUCAUAAAUGUGAUUGAUUCUGUCAAGCUCCAUAAUAUAAACUAGUCAAUAUGGAAGUAUUUCGAUAAUUCAUGUAAAAAUAAUAGAUAAUAUAAAUUCGUACAAUAUACACUUACCAACAGCCAGCAAGCGCGUAGCGGGGAGAUCUUCGUCAUCUUCUGAGAUACUUAAUAGUAGCCAAUAUGCAGCCAUUAGUAUUCUGAAAUAUAAAAGAGGAAAUAUAAUUAGUGUAUCAAAUUAAUUAAAAAUAAUGAAUGAAAAUGUAUGAAGGAAUAUUUGUGGCAACUUACCAUAGUGGACGACUUAUUUUAACGGAAAAGAUAGCAGUUGCCUCUCAUUAUUUUUCUAUCAAAUUAAUAAAGUUCACUCCCGAGACCGUCACAACCGCCAUUUUAUGUCGCGAAACUGUAGGCCUUAACCAGAUUCAAGCAGACCCCAAAAUCGAGCCCCCCAAGAGCAACUGCGAGACGAAAAGCGCUUGGAGGCGCUCCCGACUCGGACUUUACUUCCAUUUCUACUCUCUCAUCUACUCUAAACCAGUGAAAACCCCCGAUAGAACUCGAAAACCCUUGUCCUACAACCUUUACCCGAAAAGGAUUAGAGGCAAAUUUGAAUUCCGAAAAAGUUGCGGUGCGUUACGUACGCACAAACGUGGAACGACAUCGGAUUCACUAAUUUAAAUACUUUAGAAGGCUCUAAACGGAUUUUCUACGAUAAAAAACUUAAUUUUUCAGUAGACGCUAUCAAAAAAAAAUAUGGUGCCGAUAAACAAAUGAAAAACGGUUAAUUAUUUGAAGGGUAGUCUUUUAAGACAUUUGAUUGGCUCUUAAUUAGAUUGACAGAUACCCUAGAUGGAUCGGCAACCAGACAUACGCGAAAGGGUUACAGAUUAACGGAUUAUUUUUUUCGACAAUAAUACCUGAUUAACUUUGUAAUUAAUUUAAUUUAAUAGGAAUUUACAUAUAUAUAAUUUAUUUAUAAAAAAAAAUAUUUUUUUUAGAUAAUAUAUAUCAUCGUCGAAAAUCGAGACAUUUAAUAAUUAUUAUUGUAGGUUGUCUUAGUACUAUAAUGGACUUACUUUAAAGGGUAUUUUUCUAAUACACACAGUAAAAUAGGUCAGCUACAUCUUCCACACGGUGAUAUAAAGUAUUAAUUGAACUGUGUAAUUAGAGUUUCAAGAAGGUAAGCCAGCUACCUACCUAUAAACUUUGAAAAUAUUUGCAUAUAUCUUUCUAAAAAUAUUUUACUGUUUUUAAAACUCUGUUGGUUUUUUAUGAAUGAUUUUGUAAAUUUUAUAUGAAAUAUUUACUCUAUACAUAUAUGUACCUAAGACUUAUGAUAGCUCUAAUAGAUUUUUUAACAAACUAGAACACACUGUUAAGUUAGUUAGAGUUAGUUUAUUAGUAUUUUAUGUAUUUUGUAUAUUUAUUUAUAUUUUAGAUAAACAGAAAGCAAGAUAUAGCUACCAAAAUAUGAUGGUGCUAAUUUUAUAAUCAUUAGUUCAAGUUUAGUCAGUUUGAUUAUAUAACAUUCUAACUUUUAUGUUUAACAAUUUUUCUUCGGAGCCCAUAGUUAGAAAGGUGAUUUCCUAUUCCACCAUCGUAAAUACCCAAAGUUGUGAAUUGGAUAAUCAGUUGUUUUAUAUUGAUGGUUGCUCUACGUCUUAACAUUAAGAAGGCGUGCUUAGGUACGAAUUAUAUAAGUUACAUAUGUAAAACUUAAAAGAUUAAUCUAUAAAUGUAGAAAAUGGAAUUGAAAUAAAAACUUCUAAAA